rnacentral:tRNA from 1 species
GGGAGUGGCUCAGUGGUAGAGUACCACCUUGCCAAGGUGGCUGUCGCGGGUUCGAAUCCCGUCUCCC